rnacentral:lncRNA from 1 species
UAAGUAGAAUAAUUAGCUAUUAUUUCCUCUAACUUAAUCGGUAUAAGGACAUUUACAUAUGAACCUAAUCUAAGGCAUUACACUUGUGACAUAAAAAAUGUGAGUUUGAUUUUUUACCUUUUAGCUAAUCAUAAACUAAGGUUUAAAUGAAUAAGACAAAGUAGCUAGCAUGUGAUGGGUGAGAGGGAGCGUAAAAUGCACUCACUCGUAAAAAUAUUUUUAGGUAAAAGUGUAAGAUGGAGCAUAAAAUGCACUCACCAU